UUGGAAACUCGUAUGAACGGCUUAAUUAACGGAAUUAGUUUGUUUUUUAAAUAGCAGAUUAAAGAUAAAGUAAGAAUUCUUUAAUAAAUUAGAGGACGAUAAGACCCUAGAAGCUUUAUAACUAGUUGGUAUUUAAUGGUGCUAAAAAUAUUAAUUUACUGGGGCAGUAGUUUUGAAUAGAUUAAAAAAUAGAUAGACGACCCUUUUUAUAAAGAUUAUAUGAAUAAGUUACUUUAGGGGUAACAGUGCAAUAUAUUUGGAGAGACCAGAUCUAUAAAUAUGUUUGCAACCUCGAUGUUGAAUUAGAAUUUCUGUACGGGCAAAAUAUAUACAAGAAAGUUUGUUCAACUUUUGAAUUUCUACAUGAUCUGAGUUCAAACCGG
rnacentral:rRNA from 1 species